UACGUAGGUGACAAGCGUUGUCCGGAUUUACUGGGCGUAAAGAGCGCGCAGGCGGUUGCUCAAGUCGAGUGUGAAAGCCCCCGGCUCAACUGGGGAGGGUCAUUCGAUACUGAUCGACUCGAAGGCAGGAGAGGGAAGUGGAAUUCCCGGUGUAGUGGUGAAAUGCGUAGAUAUCGGGAGGAACACCAGUGGCGAAGGCGACUUCCUGGCCUGUUCUUGACGCUGAGGCGCGAAAGCUAGGGGAGCAAACGGG
rnacentral:rRNA from 1 species